GCCCAAGUGGCGGAACUGGCAGACGCGCACGACUCAAAAUCGUGUUCCUCCGGGAAUGUGGGUUCGAUUCCCACCUUGGGCA
rnacentral:tRNA from 1 species